CCGCGAGUGGCGUAACAAGGCAACCGCAUCAGACUUAAAAUCUGAGGAUCGUAAUGAUCGUGUGGGUUCGACUCCCACCUCGCGGA
rnacentral:tRNA from 1 species